CCGCGAACCAAGGAGUGCGGUUUUAUUGACUCAUUUUUAUCAAUAAAAAAGUGAGCAACCGCUGAGAUGUUGAUGAUAGCAACAAACCCUUUGAACCUGGACGGGAAUUAGUAAUCACCCAGUGUGAAAUUGCUAAUAUAACCGGCGUAGGAAUGGUUAAUAUUUUCUAA
rnacentral:ncRNA from 1 species